ACCCCAAAAAAGCAAUCAGGAUUGGAAAUUGAUCACAGAAACCUUAACUGGAAUGCCUCCAAAAGCUAUUAUUUCAUCUAAGAAAGGGGCAGAAACUUGACUGUGUGCCAGGAAGCGUUCAUACAAAGCCAAGACAGCGAUCCAAAAACAGAGCCGCUUUUCUUGUUUCCAGAGCACCACGAAGCUCACACUCAUGCUGCCGCGGCCCUCGGGGCAGCACUUCUCCACACAGCAGCUCCAGUGAUGACCAGUCUGGGAGGUGAGCCAGAGUUCACCUGGCUGACUGGGGUUCAGUAGCGCUAGUCACGCAAUGCUGUGUGCGCAAACCUCCAGCAACUUUUCAACCCCUGCACACAAGAAAGCCAUCAAGUACCUGCAAUUGACAGAAUCGCGUGCAAUUCAGGCCUCGUUUUGAAGUUUGAGAGCGUGAUCCCGGCAAUACAAGCAAGCCUGGAGGUGGUUAGGACAUGAAAGUGAGUUAACUCCACUUACCGUCAUGCAUUGCGCAACUACGUUUGGUGAAAGCAGCAUGUGCUGAGGCGCUCCGCACAAACUAUGGCUCAGUGAAGCUGCGGCUCUUGACGAGAGCGCGUCGUGUCAGCAGAGACUCUGGCUGCAGCUGCCGCAGAGACCAUCAUUGCGCUGGACCCUAAGGAGGAAUCAGCAUCUUCGGAAAUAAUCGUUCUGAUUGCUUUGCUGGAUUUGCCUGGGCGUAAAUCGUUUAAUGCUGGGGCUCUUUGGACGCAUUAACGGGAUUAAUCGCGACAUUGACAAACGUGGAGAAGUUAUUAUUAUUAUUGUUUUGUGUUUUUGUUUAAACGUGAUCACGAUGGUAGCAGCUGAUGGAUUGAAAACUCCAGCUAUGGAUCUUUUCGCGUGUUAUAAGGAAAUGCUGACUUCAGUCUGGGAUGAGUUUCUACUCCUGCCACAGAUUCAGCUGCUGGACAAGUCUCUUGGGAUAUUUGGGAUACAAGCGUGGUCAAGUGCUGACAUUUUCAUAGAUGGUUAAUGUUAUAUGCUGAUUUCGGAAAUGAAAUCUGUAUUUUGUGGAUUUUUUAUUUUUUUUAUUUUGCACAGUUGGAUAUCUUGGAUUAUGUUUUGGAAGCUGUGCUCCAGUGGAUGUCCAGUGAUUUGGAUAAUAUGUGCGCAUCUCCUGAUUCCGCAGUGAAGGAAUCCAAAUUCUUCAGAUGAGAGUUCGACCUUUAAUUGCAUGCUAGCGAUCUUCUGAUGAUCACCAAGAAGGGGCUGAGUAAUGGAAACAUGACCUCAAGAGAUUCAACAGGGUGAGGCAUGUGAGAGAAACGUGGGAAGGGAAAAUCCAGAAUGGAGGCCAGAAGAGAUGCACAAAGUCAGGAUCAUACUAAAUCCCGGUUUGGACUGUUGGACCAGCAUCCUCUGAAGCAGAUGUUUGCUCCUGGCAAGGCUGCCGACAACAUGAGCUCCCACACUGGCAAUCUAGCUCUCAGGAUUCAGUGAGCAGCGUGAGCUUGGAGAAGCUAUGACAUAAACGCAGCAGGACGGUGAAUCGCGUUUUGCUGCUCAGACAUCAUGGAACAGAUCAGUCAGCCCCAUCUGGAGAAAUGCUCUAUAGAAGAGUCAUAUAUUUACCAUAGUUACUUUGAUGGAUACAGCAUGUUGUUUGACUUUAUUUUUCUAAUUGAUUUUAAUAGAAAUGAUAAUUUCCCGCCAUCUAUGUAUCUUCUCUUGUUUUGCAGAUUUUAAUUACAGUGUCGCUCAUUCAGUGACUUCAGCAUUUACUGUGUCAUUUUUGUCAUUUUUGGUAAUGUGACUGUUUUCAAAGUGGCUCUUCUAAAACUUUAAGAAAGUUUAUCCAGGGAGGAGCACAAAAAAAUGUCUCCUACUGUGUAAAAAGACUUAAUGCACAUGUGAUUGAGAUUAAUCAGAUGAAUCACUCAGUCAGUGGAUAUGUGAUUUUCAUCUUCUUACUGCAGCGACAAAGAAGCCAUUGUCAUUAUUGUAAAACCAUGAAUUCUCCUUCUUAUGCUGCAUUUCAUUGUGACACAUUGGCAGCUUCUGCUAAUUUCAGUUAAUAAUCCUGUCAAGCAGUUUAUUCUCAUUAUGAUUUAUGACUCCAUAGCUUUUGUUGUUUUUGUUAAGCCCUGUUAGCAGAAAUUAAAAGGUGUAUCCAA